UCUCGUUCUGUGUGGUUGGUCACUGAGCCAGCUCAGGGGUAGGGAAUGCAUCAGGUCAAUUAAGUCCUGCUAGUUGGCAAGGGUUUCCUGCAAUCACACACCAAGACCCGUUGUGUGUCCUGCCUUGGGCUGGGAAAGAGGGUGGCUGAUGAGGCCAAAAGCUAUGUACUGGAGAAGCCUGCCUUCAAUUCAGCAAAUUACUGUAGUCACAUUACUUCACAUAAGAACCACUUGAGGUGAUUCUGCUAGCUAGAUGACAAUCAAUUCUGCCUGCAUUAGCAAGAAAGGAAAUUCACUUGCAAACUCUUCAAAUGGAUGGCAUCAUGGAGAAGAGAAUUGGGAUUCAUAUUCAUAUUUCCAGCACAGUGUUUCUCAUUCAGGAGAGAUAUAUUUGAAAUUAAAGCUCUCCUCUCCUCCGCUGCUAUCUGUCAAACCUUUAUUUGAUAGUCAUGAGCAUGCAUAUCAUAACAGUUCCAGCAACCAUGUCUGCUUUGAAGCAGAGCCUUGAGAAACUCUUGCAGACAAAUAAUGAGUACAUUUUGAGUUUUCUUUCCAUUGGGAGGGUUAUGGCACUUGCCCUAUGUAGAUGAAAUCAAAUCAAAUUAAUUUAUAUAGCCCUUCUUACAUCAGCUGAGUGCUGUACAGAAACCCAGCCUAAAACCUCAAACAGCAAGCAAUGCAGGUGUAGAAGCACGGUGGCUAGGAAAAACUCCCUAGAAAGGCCAAAACCUAGGAAGAAACCUAGAGAGGAACCAGGCUAUGAGGGGUGGCCAGUCCUCUUCUGGCUGUGCCAGGUGGAUAUUAUAACAGAACAUGGCCAAGAUGUUCAAAUGUUCAUAAAUGACCAGCAUGGUCAAAUAAUAAUAAUCACAGUAGUUGUCGAGGGUGCAACAGGUCAGCAUCUCAGGAGUAAAUGUCAGUUGGCUUUUCAUAGCCGAUCAUUGAGACUAUCUCUACUGCUCCUGCUGUCUCUAGAGAGUUGAAAACAGCAGGUCUGGGGCAGGUAGCACAUCCGGUGAACAGGUUGGGGUUCCAUAGCCGCAGGCAGAACAGUUGAAACUGGAGCAGAAGCACAGCCACGUGGACUGGGGACAGCAAAGAGUCAUCAUGCCAGUUAGUCCUGAGGCAUGGUCCUAGGGCUCAGGUCCUCCGUGAGAGAGAAAGAAAGAGAGAAAGAGAGAGAGCAUACUUAAAUUCACACAGCACACCAGAUA